ACUAUAAGACGAGAAGACCCCAUGGAGCUUUAAACCUAGCCACACCCAGAAUCUUUAUACCUAACUAUUAUCUGAACCCUGUAAGCUAGGCUUUAGGUUGGGGUGACCGCGGAGUAAAACAAAACCUCCGCAAUGAACGAAACUACCGUCUUAUCUAAGAAUAACCCCUCUAAGAAUUAGCACUCUAACAUAAAUGAUCCAAUUAUUGAUCAACGGACCAAGUUACCCUGGGGAUAACAGCGCAAUCCACUUCAAGAGCUCCUAUCGA
rnacentral:rRNA from 1 species